rnacentral:hammerhead_ribozyme from 1 species
AUCCAGCGGACAAAUGCAGAAUAGGACGAAACGCGCGUCCUGGAU